UAGGGAAUCUUCCGCAAUGGACGCAAGUCUGACGGAGCAACGCCGCGUGAGUGAAGAAGGAUUUCGGUUCGUAAAACUCUGUUGUUAGAGAAGAACAGCGCAUAGAGUAACUGUUAUGCGUGUGACGGUAUCUAACCAGAAAGCCACGGCUAACUACGUGCCAGCAGCCGCGGUAAUACGUAGGUGGCAAGCGUUGUCCGGAUUUAUUGGGCGUAAAGCGAGCGCAGGCGGUCAAUUAAGUCUGAUGUGAAAGCCCCCGGCUCAACCGGGGAGGGUCAUUGGAAACUGGUUGACUUGAGUGCAGAAGCGGAGAGUGGAAUUCCAUGUGUAGCUGUGAAAUGCGUAGAUAUAUGGAGGAACACCAGUGGCGAAGGCGACUCUCUGGUCUGUAACUGACGCUGAGGCUCGAAAGCGUGGGUAGCAAACAGG
rnacentral:rRNA from 1 species